rnacentral:rRNA from 1 species
GACGAACGCUGGCGGCGUGCUUAACACAUGCAAGUCGAACGGUGAAGGGACCGGUUUUUGCUGGUUCUGGAUGAGUGGCGAACGGGUGAGUAACACGUGGGUAACCUGCCCCCUUCUUCUGGAUAACCGCAUGAAAGUGUGGCUAAUACGGGAUAUUCUGCGCCUGCUGCAUGGUGGGUGUGGGAAAGAUAUUGUUUCGGUGGGGGAUGGGCUCGCGGCCUAUCAGCUUGUUGGUGGGGUGAUGGCCUACCAAGGCGGUGACGGGUAGCCGGCCUGAGAGGGUGGACGGUCACACUGGGACUGAGACACGGCCCAGACUCCUACGGGAGGCAGCAGUGGGGAAUAUUGCACAAUGGGCGCAAGCCUGAUGCAGCGACGCCGCGUGAGGGAUGGAGGCCUUCGGGUUGUAAACCUCUUUCGCCAGUGAAGCAGGCCUGUCCCUUUUGUGGGUGGGUUGACGGUAGCUGGAUAAGAAGCGCCGGCUAACUACGUG